UGCAGCUCAAUGCAGACCGUCCACUUGAACGCUAAAUGGCAGCUGCUGUCUAAUGUCUAAAAAUAACACGAAAAACACAAACAAGGAAAGGGAAAAGAGCGGCUCUGAUAUAUUUAUUCCUGCCAUUAUAGAGCGCACUCCCUGGCUGUUCGCUAUUUUUAAAGACUCUUUAUUGCCGUGUGCUUUUCCUUGCAAACAUGACAUUGAGUACUGUUUUGAUCACAGGCAGCUGAUAGGUGUUAAUGCGUGUUUAAAGACAAAACGCAUAGAAGCGAUCCCCAACCAAAUGAGAUACUGUCUAACUGUGCAGGAACUGUGUCUUCUACAACAAAUACAACACAUAGAUGCACUUAUAGUGACCGCAAAUAUAUAAGACUCAGGCAGUGACAGAAGAGCGAAGAAACCGAGGAAAGCAGGAUGUGAGAAGGAAAGCACAGCGCCUGUCAGAGAAGCAACCGCAAGGUACAGCAAGGUUGACGGAAACCGCAGAGAGAUAGGAAGCACAAAGUUCUGCAGAAAAAUACAACAAUUGGCAUAUAACACGCAGACGUUUAUGCACAAUGUUGCUGCUGAUGAACUAGUUUGACUUAUCGGCAAUGUUUUCCCAUUCGGAAGCGAGGCAGGGAGAUGAGGUGCUUGCAGGGAUAGAGCGGAGUCGAAUGUUUGGAUGAGGGACUCCAGGGUAGAGAAGAAGAUAUCGAGAGAACUGUGUUCAGAGGAAGAGAAAAACAUGGCAGUUUGCUAGUCGCCAUGAAGCUUCUCCGCAGAAUCGGUCUUGCGUUAUGAGGAUGUGAUUGCAGACGAUGCACGAUUUGUAUUAUCGCUCGUAACCUCUCGUUGGAUCGCCACCGUCAACACCGAGAAGACAAGGCAACCCCGCGGACAAACACACACACAGCCAUAAGCCGAGGCGGAGAGGUAAAGUGCACUGUCACUGCCAAAGAAGCGAGAGAAUGAGAGAGAGCGCGCUGGAGAGAGGGGGAAUGGAGAGAGGGAACCGUUAUGACGUUGCGGUUACGUCACCGGACUUGUUCGGCACUUGUAGUUGGCGAUAGAGGGCUGGGCAGAUGUGUCACAACACACGUUGUAGAUGUGCCUUCCUUACAUGCAUACACACGCUCAUUUGCUCACACACCUAAGUGUACUCCCUCGCUCCUUUCCAGCGUGACGCAGCAGUUCUCAUGCCCUGUAGUAACCUCACCCUUCCUGUCGCAAGCUAUGGCGCAUCUAGAUUUUAAUGGAGAGUGCUAAAAAUGUGCCAGAAAACCGGAGCGGACAUAACACUGAUUACAGUGUUGUUUUCGCUAUGCGAUUGUAUGGGAGUGUCUUUUGGGUUUAUUUAUCAAGCGAAGGAUUUGCAUACCUAGAAAGUCGAACACUGCAUGAGAUUCUAGGUUAAAUUACACUGACAAAACUAUCAACAUAAAUGCACUGACUAAGAACUAAAGUCACAGACCAUCACAGCACCAAUCGAUUAAGCACAUGAUCAUAUAUACAGCCAAAACAAACACACAUAUUACAUAUAACACAGGGGUCUCUAACCUUUUAGUGAGCAAGGGCUACCACAAUGGAAAAAAGAAUCUGGCGGCCUAAUUUUUGAUAUAGUCUACUCAAAAGUUUUUUGUUUAACUUGAUUUUAUUUUAUUUAACUUGUUGAUAUGUUUUGUCAAUGUUUUAAAUGUUAACAUACCUAAAAGAAGUCAAGCUAACAUAAAAAUAUGUUAAAAUUGACGCUAUUAAUAGAAUGUGCUUUGGCGGGCAACUCACAGACUCUGUGCUGGGACAACCUGUUGGAGACCACCGAGCUAACAUAUACUAACAAUAAAGAAUACAGCAUUUAUUAAUGUCAUGUUAAUUUUAUCCCAAACUAAAACUGAGAAGCUGAGAAUAUGGAGCUGCUGAUUUUCAAAAACAAUAACUAUACAGUGCAUACCUGGCUGAACAGUUUAAAACUAUACAAGAAAAUCUUGAUUCACAGGACAUACCGCACAGAGGACCUUUGCUUCUGUAUUACAGUAAAUGCAAGAGUUGUGCGUUUUACAACAUGAGAAAACAACCACAGGGCUUAAAGUUUUCCGGCACCAUGCCGGAUCUCCGGUUUGCGGCGUUGGGUGGGAAUUUUAAAAGUUUGAGUUCAUGCGUGUUUGUGUGAAACGUGGAGCUCUUGAUUGUUAGAUGCUUUGCCAAAAGAACUAUGCAAAAGACAAAUGCACUUGACCGCCUUUCCGGACAUCAUGGAAUUUUUAAGUCGCAACAUCAUUUGAAUUAAAGAGCACCUAUUUCAUUGCCAAAACAACACUAUUUUGUGUAUUUGGUAUAAUACAAUGUGUUCGCGUGGUUUAUGGUUAAAAACACAUUAUUUUCCACAUACCGUACAUUUUUGUAGCUCCAGAUUUCACUCUUUUCCUAAAACGCACGGAUUUGAAAAGCUCUGUGUCCCUGAUUGGCCAGCUAAUCUGUACGUUGUGAUUUGCCUGAAUACCUCUGACGUCAGCCGGAAAUGUGACGCUCCUUAACAUGUUUGAAAGAUUUGGUUGCUAACAGUAGUUAACUUACAGGCCAAAGCGGGAGGAAUUAUGAUAAUGUCGGUCUUGUCUACAUCACCAAUCACAGGAAGUAAACUGUUGCCUACAAUCUGUGUGUUUGUUGUUAUCCAAGAAAAGAGAUUUACGUUGGAGACGAUAACUCGCGUCAUCGUUUACUUUGCGGUUUGUACCUUUUGCAUAUCGUUAACAUGUACUAAUACACACUUACACACCAAAGGAAAUUUAAAAUCGUGAAUCGGACGAUAGGUGCUCUUUAAGUAACUUUAAUGUUACAGUAUCCACUUCGAAUUCAGGGGGCAAAGGUUGCUUGCUGUUCAGUAACUAAUAAUAAAUAUAUGGGUGAUGCUCGCGAAAUUAGACUUAUGAGGUGUCAUGAAACAUUUUGAUAAAAAAGUAAAUGCUAUCAAAAUAAGAAGCAUACAGUUACAAACAUCUCUUCAUGUACUAUUUUGCACAUGAUUUCAUAUGACAUCAUACAAACCAAUUUUGUUGUUUUUCCACAUUUGAGGGGGACAUUUCAUUACCGCAAUGUGUCCAUGGUGAAUUUGGGUUCUUUGACAUGGAAAUAUUUAUAAUUAAAAAUCUAAAAAAUAAAAAGCUUCAGUGCAUGUUAUACUAAAAAUAUUUACAGUUGGACACCUUCUAAAUCUGGAUUUCGUGAGAAUCACCCAUAUGUAUUAAAUGCCCCCACUAAUUAUCCUAUAAACAUUAAACAUGUUUUGACCAAUGGUGAAUCCCAUUCAUCAUAUGUUGUGUAUGUGGCUUGUGUGCCCUAUUAUUACCAUACAUACAUACAUGCAACCAAAGAUUUUACUAAUAGAGCACAAAAUUGUUUAAAAGAACAUAAAGAUGUAUUCCUCAUAGAUCUAGUCACUUAUUUUCCCUCUCAAAUUGCACCACAUUGAUGUAUUUAUCUCUAAAAGUGACUGAUUUUGUUCAGUUUGAUGAUUUACUUUGGGGCAUAUAGUAAAAAACCUGAACAAAAAUGUUGUGUUUGCGUCAUAUUUUAGUGAGUAACUUUUUUUGUAUUGCUGUUUUAAAUAAUCUGUAGUUUGAGCCAGUCAAGUGCUAAUGGCAAUGGCAGACAUGUUACUAGUUAGUUUCAACAAUGUUUUACUCAACAUGUCCACCCCAGAAAUUUAACCCCUGCAACCAGUUGAGCCACAAACAACCUCUGUGUCACAAGACAGCUGAUAAUUCAUCAAAACACAAGAGACAUGUGAGAUGUGAAACUACACAGGUCCCAGAAAGACCACAGCACUACACGGAAAGGUUUAACAUUUCAACAAGACCCAAAACAUAAAGGUUACC